GGACGAACGCUGGCGGCGUGCUUAACACAUGCAAGUCGAACGGAAAGGCCUUUUCGGAGGUACUCGAGUGGCGAACGGGUGAGUAACACGUGGGUGAUCUGCCCUGCACUCUGGGAUAAGCCUGGGAAACUGGGUCUAAUACCGGAUAGGACCGCACUUUAGUGUGUGUGGUGGAAAGUUUUUUCGGUGUAGGAUGAGCCCGCGGCCUAUCAGCUUGUUGGUGGGGUAAUGGCCUACCAAGGCGGCGACGGGUAGCCGGACUGAGAGGUUGGUCGGCCACAUUGGGACUGAGACACGGCCCAGACUCCUACGGGAGGCAGCAGUGGGGAAUAUUGCACAAUGGGCGCAAGCCUGAUGCAGCGACGCCGCGUGGGGGAUGACGGCCUUCGGGUUGUAAACUCCUUUCGCCAGGGACGAAGCGUUUUGUGACGGUACCUGGAGAAGAAGCACCGGCUAACUACGUGCCAGCAGCCGCGGUAAUACGUAGGGUGCAAGCGUUGUCCGGAAUUACUGGGCGUAAAGAGCUCGUAGGUGGUUUGUCACGUCGUCUGUGAAAUUCCACAGCUUAACUGUGGGCGUGCAGGCGAUACGGGCUGACUUGAGUACUGUAGGGGUAACUGGAAUUCCUGGUGUAGCGGUGAAAUGCGCAGAUAUCAGGAGGAACACCGAUGGCGAAGGCAGGUUACUGGGCAGUUACUGACGCUGAGGAGCGAAAGCAUGGGUAGCAAACAGGAUUA
rnacentral:rRNA from 1 species